UACGUAGGGGGCAAGCGUUGUCCGGAAUCAUUGGGCGUAAAGCGCGCGUAGGCGGCUAGAUCAGUCUGCUGUAAAAGUCAAAGGCUCAACCUUUGAAAGCCGGUGGAUACUGUCUAGCUAGAGUCCGGAAGAGGCGAGUGGAAUUCCUGGUGUAGCGGUGGAAUGCGCAGAUAUCAGGAGGAACACCCGUGGCUAAGGCGGCUCUCUAGUACGGUACUGACGCUGAGACGCGAAAGCGUGGGGAGCGAACAGG
rnacentral:rRNA from 1 species